rnacentral:rRNA from 1 species
GAUGAACGCUGGCGGCGUGCCUAAUACAUGCAAGUCGAGCGAACAGACGAGGAGCUUGCUCCUCUGACGUUAGCGGCGGACGGGUGAGUAACACGUGGAUAACCUACCUAUAAGACUGGGAUAACUUCGGGAAACCGGAGCUAAUACCGGAUAAUAUAUUGAACCGCAUGGUUCAAUAGUCAAAGACGGUUUUGCUGUCACUUAUAGAUGUAUCCGCGCCGCAUUAGCUAGUUGGUAAGGUAACGGCUUACCAAGGCAACGAUGCGUAGCCGACCUGAGAGGGGGAUCGGCAACACUGGAACUGAGACACGGUCCAGACUCCUACGGGAGGCAGCAGUAGGGAAUCUUCCGCAAUGGGCGAAAGCCUGACGGAGAAACGCCGCGUGAGUGAUGAAGGUCUUCGGAUCGUAAAACUCUGUUAUUAGGGAAGAACAAAUGUGUAAGUAACUAUGCACGUCUUGACGGUACCUAAUCAGAAAGCCACGGCUAACUACGUG